AGAGUUUGAUCAUGGCUCAGAUUGAACGCUGGCGGCAUGCUUUACACAUGCAAGUCGAACGGUAACAGGCCGCAAGGUGCUGACGAGUGGCGAACGGGUGAGUAAUGCAUCGGAACGUGCCCAAUCGUGGGGGAUAACGUAGCGAAAGUUACGCUAAUACCGCAUACGAUCUAAGGAUGAAAGCGGGGGAUCGCAAGACCUCGCGCGAAUGGAGCGGCCGAUGUUAGAUUAGGUAGUUGGUGGGGUAAAGGCUCACCAAGCCGACGAUCUAUAGCUGGUCUGAGAGGAUGAUCAGCCACACUGGGACUGUGACACGGCCCAGACUCCUACGGGAGGCAGCAGUGGGGAAUUUUGGACAAUGGGCGCAAGCCUGAUCCAGCCAUUCCGCGUGCAGGAUGAAGGCCCUCGGGUUGUAAACUGCUUUUGUACAGAACGAAAAGCUCUGGGUUAAUACCCUGGGGUCAUGACGGUACUGUAAGAAUAAGCACCGGCUAACUACGUGCCAGCAGCCGCGGUAAUACGUAGGGUGCAAGCGUUAAUCGGAAUUACUGGGCGUAAAGCGUGCGCAGGCGGUUAUGUAAGACAGAGGUGAAAUCCCCGGGCUCAACCUGGGAACUGCCUUUGUGACUGCAUAGCUAGAGUACGGCAGAGGGGGAUGGAAUUCCGCGUGUAGCAGUGAAAUGCGUAGAUAUGCGGAGGAACACCGAUGGCGAAGGCAAUCCCCUGGGCCUGUACUGACGCUCAUGCACGAAAGCGUGGGGAGCAAACAGGAUUAGAUACCCUGGUAGUCCACGCCCUAA
rnacentral:rRNA from 1 species